rnacentral:rRNA from 1 species
CCUACGGGAGGCAGCAGUGGGGAAUAUUGCACAAUGGGGGAAACCCUGAUGCAGCGACGCCGCGUGAGUGAAGAAGUAUUUCGGUACGGAAAGCUCUAUCAGCAGGGGAGAAAAUGACGGUACCUGACUAAGACGCCCCGGCUAACUACGUGCCAGCAGCCGCGGUACUACGUAGGGGGCAAGCGUUAUCCGGAUUUACUGGGUGUAAAGGGUGCGUAGACGGCCGCGCAAGUCUGGAGUGAAAUGCCAUGGCUUAACCAUGGAACUGCUUUUGAAACUGUGCAGCUAGAGAGCAGGCGAGGUAAGCGGAAUGUCUGGUGUAGCGGUGAAAUGCGUAGAUAUUAUGAGGAACACCAAUGGCGAAGGCGGCUUACUGGGCUGUAACUGACGUUGAGGCUCGAAAGCGUGGGGAGCAAACGGGAUUAGAUACCCGUGUAGUC